CACACUCCACUGUUAUGUUACUGACUGAGCCAGGAGAGAGCUGGACCUGGACCAUUUGUGAGUGAAUGAGACAACACGACACGGAGAGUAAGAUCACACACAAAGACUGAGUCCAACAUCUUCCUGUUGGUAUUGUUGUAUGUCUCUUGCUGUCUUUCAGCAGCAGAGGGAACCAAGCUUGACACACAGUACAGAGACAACACACCAGAUGGAGAAGAGUGGUGUUCCUGAGUGUCUCACCCACUCUGAGGCAUUGGGUCAGCUGAGAAGAGAGCUGUCCCAUUCAUCUGACUUACACAUCUUCAUCAUACUGGGAGCCUCAGGAGAUCUUGCCAAUAAGAAGAUUUAUCCUACUCUAUGGUGGCUGUUCAGAGAUGAGCUUCUCCCAGAAGAGACCCACUUUGUGGGCUUUGCUCGCUCCAAGCUGACCAUGGAUGACAUCAGGACAGCAUGUCUGCCACAUAUGAAGGUUGGUGAUGGUGAGAGUGAGCGCCUCGCUGCAUUCUUCAGUAGGAACUCUUACCUGAGCGGCAGGUAUGAUGAGGAGGACUCCUUCUCUGAGCUGAAUGCCCACCUGAACUCCCUGACCACCAGCAGGGGGGCUGACCAUGCUAACUGUGUCUUCUACCUGGCACUGCCCCCCAGCGUCUACCAUCAUGUUAGCAAGAACAUCAGAGCCCACUGCAUGUGCCGCAAAGGUUGGAGCAGGGUGAUAGUGGAGAAGCCAUUUGGUCGUGACUUGCAGAGUUCUCAGGAGCUGUCGUCCCACUUCUCCUCCCUGUUCAAAGAAGACCAGAUCUACCGCAUAGACCACUACCUGGGCAAGGAGAUGGUGCAGAAUCUCAUGGUCCUCAGGUUUGGGAACCGUAUCUUUGGUCCUAUCUGGAACAGGAACAGCGUGGCCUGUGUGGUUCUAACCUUUAAAGAACCAUUCGGUACACAGGGACGCGGAGGAUACUUUGAUGACUUUGGCAUCAUCCGUGAUGUCAUGCAGAACCACCUCCUCCAGAUGCUCUCUCUGGUUGCCAUGGAGAAGCCUGCCUCCACCAGCCCUGAUGAUGUGAGAGAUGAGAAGGUGAAGGUGUUGAAAUGCAUCGCCCCAGUGCCUCGGUCUGAUGUGGUGCUGGGUCAGUACAUAGGGGACCCUGAGGGGGAGGGCCAUGCCAGACUGGGUUACCUAGAUGACCCCACUGUGCCCAACGGCUCCCAGACGCCUACCUUCGCCACCUCUGUGCUCUACGUACAGAAUGAGAGAUGGGAUGGUGUUCCGUUCAUCCUGCGUUGCGGUAAGGCACUCAACGAGCGGUUCACGGAUGUUCCAGGGGACAUCUUUAAUGAGCAGUGCCAGAGGAAUGAGCUGGUGGUGAGGGUACAGCCUGAUGAGGCCAUCUACCUCAAGAUGAUGACCAAGAAGCCUGGCGCCUACUUCAGCCCUGAGGAGACUGAACUGGACCUUACCUACAGGAGCAGAUACAAGGACGUGAAGCUCCCUGAUGCAUAUGAGCGUCUGAUUCUGGAUGUGUUCUGUGGGAAUCCGAUGCACUUUGUCCGCAGUGAUGAGCUGCGAGAAGCCUGGAGGAUCUUCACUCCCCUCCUCCAUCACAUAGAGGGAGAGAAAACACCUCCUAUCCCUUACACCUAUGGAAGUCGUGGACCAAAUGAAGCGGAUGAGCUCGUGAGGAGGGUGGGAUUCCGCUACGAGGGAACAUACAAGUGGGUCAAUCCCCACACUGCAUGACACAAGAAACACACACCAAUUACACUGUGUGAAAGUUCCCUUGUGUUUGCUACUCUCGACUCUUUCGAGAUGCUUAUUUAAGUCACACUGUAUGAAAGAACUUUAUAUUCUGCAUUUCUCACAAUCCUGAUAUUCCCUCGUCUCCUAUUUGAGUUGGCAUGGUAUCAUACUGUACUGUAUGUGCCGUAGCCAACUUGUCAUUUGGGCACGUGUUUGGCAUGACAACGACCACAGUGGAGUUGGUUAAAACACAAACCGUUCUGAACCACCAGGCGACAAAUCAGUAUUAUGAACAACACUUCUGAACUUGAUUAAUGCACUGUUUGAUUACAGCAUCACGAUCCAGAUUGAUUGUGACAAAAUAAAUCAUGAUAAUUUAUUGACUUCACUGUUUGAUUGAUUGAUUGACGAUGUCACUUCCUGUGAGACUGUCGUCUAUAAGGCAUUGAGCACCCUGAAGGCAGGAGGUAAGGUAUAUGUCCCAGUUCUGAGCAUGCUGUCACUCCAUAGCCCAUAGACUGUUACUGCUGGGAGGAAGCAGAAUGAAUGAAAGAUCAAAAAUGUGUCUCUGUAUACAUUGGGUGUGCUCGUUUUACAUCGCC